AUUGAACGCUGGCGGCAUGCUUUACACAUGCAAGUCGAACGGUAACAGGCCUUCGGGUGCUGACGAGUGGCGAACGGGUGAGUAAUGCAUCGGAACGUGCCCAGAGGUGGGGGAUAACGCAGCGAAAGCUGUGCUAAUACCGCAUGUGAUCUGAGGAUGAAAGCGGGGGACCAGGCAGCAAUGUUUGGCCUCGCGCCUUUGGAGCGGCCGAUGUCAGAUUAGGUAGUUGGUGGGGUAAAGGCCUACCAAGCCGACGAUCUGUAGCUGGUCUGAGAGGACGACCAGCCACACUGGGACUGAGACACGGCCCAGACUCCUACGGGAGGCAGCAGUGGGGAAUUUUGGACAAUGGGCGCAAGCCUGAUCCAGCAAUGCCGCGUGCGGGAAGAAGGCCUUCGGGUUGUAAACCGCUUUUGCACGGAACGAAAAGGCUCUGGCUAAUACCUGGGGCUGAUGACGGUACCGUAAGAAUAAGCACCGGCUAACUACGUG
rnacentral:rRNA from 1 species